ACGCUUCCUGGAAGAGAUGCAUUGCGGAGCUCGCUAGUUGGGGCGUUGGCCUUCCUUAGGAGUGUGAGUCUAGCGUUAUCCCUUUUUUCCGGCUGGAUCCCGGGUUACCCCACCAGCCCGACCUCAACCCACUCACGUCCACAGCACGAGCCCCAGCGGCCUUGCGCGGUGCUUGCUCUCUAGUAGCGGCUGACUAGGUUAGUUCACUGAUUGAGAAGCGUUUUGCAGGACUCGUGCCCUGAGACCUUUCUGGUUGCAGAGAGUGGCCAUGGAGGCCUCCUGUCUCCGAACUGCCUCCUCACCAGCCUCCUCAUCUGGCUUCUGCAUGCAACCGCCACCUCUCGAUGUAUUUAUCUUUCAGUGGCAUAUUUGUAUAAUUUAAAUUUAGUAGAUCCUUUAAAAAAUGUAUGUUAUAAAAGUUUAAAACUCAAAACUGAAGAGAA
rnacentral:lncRNA from 1 species